CUGCAGUAGUGAGUUAUGGCAAUGCAAGCGCUGCUUAGUGAUUCUUGGAACCGGUGUUACUGAUCACUGCUACCUUUCUUCAGUCAAGAUGAUGAAAUAUAAAUUAAAAUGGCUAGAUUAGUACAUGUAAGCCUGUACGAUGUUAAUAUUUUCUCUCGAUGUGGCAAGGACUAAACUAUCUGUUAGGACAUGUUUAGAAUGAAAAUAUGAUGCAACCAUGCAUCAUCUAUAGUGCGCAGGCUAUGCAAAUAUAGAAAACAAAUACUUUGUGAAACCAUGUUUUUGAACAUGGAGCACAAGCAAUUCAGAUGUUUGCUGAUAAAUUUGAUGCAUGAUUUUUUUUAUAUUCAAGAUCCCACUCGCAGAAGGAAUUGAAAAUUUUCAUAUCUACAGAUCAAUGUCUUUCUUCCAUCAGUCACUAUACUCAUCUGAAUCUAAACCUUAGCUUUCAAAAUAUAGUAAUUUUGUUGAAUUUUAUUACUUCAUUUCAAUGGUAUCUUAAGUUUCUUAUGAGGAGGAUACUUUCUAAGAGUUAUCGUCUCUUAGAGGUUUCAUCACUGUGAGACUAUUUUGCUUUAACAUCAAUAGUGUCACCUGUGCAAAACCAUGGAGCUUCAUCACAUCCUUUGUAUGGAAGCAAAGUCGUCUCCCGGCAUUUUGGGUACCCGCUUGCAGUAUAUUAUUGACACUGGCUUUGGAUGCUGGGUUAACGAGGAGCCUGUGCUUGCUAUAUAACUGCAUGUCUUGCUCUCCAGCCAGAGAUUGUCUAAAGAAGAUAAAAGCAAACUGAUAAAUACUACUGGCAGAGUAUUUGCUGCAUUGCAAGAUUUAAUAAUAGGCUUCCUACUUCUUGAGAAAAUAUAGUAUGGAGCUGUAGAUAAAGCUACAAGCACCAUCUACGCCUUACACCCUGCACCUGAAAUCUUUGCUACUGAGAUUGCAAAUAAGUCCCUCGGUUCUGUAUUCAGUGUGUUUUAGAAACUGAGGACGUGUCAAAUGGAGAAGGAACUCAGAAUGAUACCUUACUGCCAUCACUACCAUCUUCAAAACUGGUUAGGUUUCUUUUUGUCAUGAGCCAUAUAGCAUUUAAUUAUUUGGUGUACAACAAGACUUCCAUUAGGAAAAUUCAGAAAGUGUACACGAGGAAGAUUGAAAGUUCUCAGCCACUCACUCACUGAAUAUCCUCAGUUAGAAGUAUCUAGAAGUGGGGACUUGGGAGGAAUAAAUGCCAAACUAGGACCUGGUGCAAGUGUGCAACUAUAUUGCAAUUGAAUCCCUCUAUAAAAGCGCAGAAAAGGGGAUCGUUUGUUGUUCUUCUGAAGAGAAUCUCAUAUGACAUUGCGCACAACUAUCAAAGCUAUGUAGGAAUUCGACUUUUUAGGUUUCCUGUAUAUUUUUUUAACAAGCUUCCAUCACUAUCUACACUUAUUAAUUUCUUCUUUUUGGGACGUA